UUAAGUUCAGCGGGUAUUCCUGUCUGAUCCGAGGUCAACCUUGAGAUAAAAAUAGUCAAGACUGGGCCGGCCGACCACCAUCGUGCGUGCUGUCAAGCUCGUUGCACCUGAGGUCGAUCACGACGCCGUCAUUACUUUUCGGACCCAUCUUUUUAACGAUGUGAAGCCCAACAACAAGCCAGGCUUGAGGGUUGAUAAUG
rnacentral:misc_RNA from 1 species